CAUGCGCUGAAGCCACAGAGAAAAACAGUUUUCCUAGUUGUCUGCGCGAGAGAACCUCCACGAGAUCAACAUGCCCAAGAGAAAGGGAGCAGAAGCCGGAGAAAAGGGGGAGCCGCAGCGGAGAUCGGCUCGGUUAUCAGCGAAGCCUAAUCCAGCUAAGGCGGAACCAAAGGUCAAGAAGGUGGCAAAGAAAGAAAAGGCUGUGAACGACAAGAAGGAGGACAAGAAGACUAAGAAGGCGAAGGAGAACGUCGAGGCCGAGGCGAACGAGGAAAACCACUCUGAGAACGGAGAGGCCAAGACCAACGAGGUGGAGGCAGCCCCCGAGGAGGCCAAGGAGGAGGCCAAGUCCGAGUAGCACCACUGCCCAAGCUUCCUCUUCCUCCUCUACAACCCCCCCACCAACCCCAACCCCACCCCCCCCCCCCAGCCAGCCAGCCAGCCCCCGCCCCAAGUCUCUCACAUGGUUUCCCUCCAAGGCGUAUUGUUAACAGAGGAAUAUUUUUAUCAAUGAUUUUAUAAGUAUCCGUACAGAUUUUUAGCACAAAAAGCAAAGCUGAUUAUGGAGCGCCUUGCAGAUUUGCAGUGGUCAUAUCAAGUGUCUGCAAGCAAGAUGAACACACUAAAAUCUUUUUUAAAUGGCAUUUCAUGAUUGUUGAAGGCUUGUUUGGUGUAGAAAUGUGUGUCCCUGCCGGAUUGGCUACGUUGUGAGUUGUGUAUUCCUGUGUUUUUCCGCUGUCCCCUGAUCUUCCCGCCUCCUCCCUUCUUCUUCCUCCACAGAUUAGACCUUCCUCCCCCCUACAGUUCAGCCUUUUAUCCAUGUUUUAUUAACGGUUUAGCUAUGUUAAUGUGGGUGAUUCUUUUAGGCCUCUAAAUGUGCAGUGAGUUCCCUUUGCUUCUGUCUCAUGGUCCCUUUUUUUUUUUUUUUUUUUUCAUUGAAGUUGUGCUUUAAAAAAAAAAAAAAAGCGUGUUGAAGAGUGUAGUCCAUAAGAAAGAGGAAGACGAACAUGCGAAAACAUUCCGGGAACAGCGAUUGCCUCCGACCCGUCUCCUAGACGACCCUGCGUGUAAAACAGCUCCUGCUCCAUCCACGCUGUCAUGUCAGCUUUUCUAAACACUCUGGUUUUUUUUAAAUCGAUUGAAUUUGGAAACCUUCUCUGACAAAUGCAGGUGUCUGGUCCCUCUCUUAUGUUCUGAAAUUCUCUUAAUAAAAAGAAGUCCUGGGAAUUUUCCUCGAACUGGUGUCUCGACUUUGUUUCUUUAAGGGACUUUUUUAUUAUGUGAUCGAAGUUGAAGCUUCAAUACUAUUAGCAAACAGUCAAAUUAUAAACUUUGCUAGCAUGUUUUUAUAAAUCACAGUCCUCUUCAGUCAUGGCUCAGGAUGCAUCUUCAAACCCCAGGCCCUCAUUUUGUCAAUAAAUACAUAAAUGUAUUAACUUGAAGUUUAAAAUUGAAAGCUACUUUGUAGCCUGCAAACAUGUACUCAACCAAGAAUACAUGCAGUCUCCAUUAUUCAC
rnacentral:lncRNA from 1 species